rnacentral:rRNA from 1 species
GACGAACGCUGGCGGCGUGCCUAAUACAUGCAAGUCGAACGCUGAAGGAGGAGCUUGCUCUUCUGGAUGAGUUGCGAACGGGUGAGUAACGCGUAGGUAACCUGCCUGGUAGCGGGGGAUAACUAUUGGAAACGAUAGCUAAUACCGCAUAACAGUAGAUGUUGCAUGACAUUUGCUUAAAAGGUGCAAUUGCACCACUACCAGAUGGACCUGCGUUGUAUUAGCUAGUUGGUGGGGUAACGGCUCACCAAGGCGACGAUACAUAGCCGACCUGAGAGGGUGAUCGGCCAACCUGGGACUGGGACACGGCCCAGGCUCCUAAGGGAGGCAGCAGUAGGGAAUCUUCGGCAAUGGACGGAAGGCUGAACGAGCAACGCCGCGUGAGUGAAGGAGGUUUUCGGAUCGUAAAGCUCUGUUGUAAGAGAAGAACGAGUGUGAGAGUGGAAAGUUCACACUGUGACGGUACCUUAAGAGAAAGGGACGGCUAACUACGUG